UAGGUAUAGAAAAAAUGCAUUACUUAAAUCAAUGACAGUGAAGCAAGUGGCAUCAUGUGGAAUGGCUGUAAUGAGGGAUGUCACAUCAGGGACAAUGGGUGAAAUGGGCACAAUUAAACUAUUCAGGGCUCUAAAGUCCUGAACUAAGCGAUAUGCUGGCCAGUGGUGUUGGGAGUGGGUCUGGUGUUGUUCUUGCCUACCGGGCAUAUUUUGAGAAUUGUGGGGUUGUUGGGGUGUGUGGGGUUUCCUGGGGUGUGGACACUCAUUCCUCCAGUGGCCACAGUUGAAACAAGUGUUCCUGUCUAUUCCUCCUUGGUUACCCCUGCCCCUAUAACCCUGAUUUCCCUGUCUCCAUCCCCUUGCCCCUCUUUGACCACCCCUUCCACGGGCUUUAUGUGCUCCAUCCCAUCCUCGCUCUCAGCCUGUGUAGCUGGACAUAAUAUGUUGCAAUCCCUGAGCAUAAUAAGCAACCUUACUUUCCUAAAUCUUUUCUUAAUUCAAAACAACCUGCAUUUUCCUUUUCUAUAACCUUGGUAAGAAAAUCUGAGCUAUCCAAAUUGGCCCAGUCUGAAAUCAAUUGUUUGACAAGCAAAUAAUACUGUGGCAACAUAUUACCAAGGCAUGACUGUAUUUUAAAGAGAUCUAUAUCAUCUCCAGACAUCAAACCUGCCUCAUCCUUCCAACACUUGUAAAAUUUCUUUACAAAAAUCAUAUUACCAAUCUCUUCCUUUGCAUCUUGCUUAUAUGCCAAAGCAGUGAAUAUAGACUACCUAUUCUUCCAUAAUCCCAACAUUUCAGCUUCCACCUUGUUCCAAAUUUUAGCACAUCUUACUGAAGUACUAAGCUCAUAAUCACCAAUUCAUUUCAAACCAUAUAACUCAUACUCAGCAUCCAAUGUAAUAUUAGUCAUCUCAUAAAACAAUAUCUUUGUAGAAACACAUAAUGGGUACCCAGCAGAUAUGCCAAUACAGAAAUCACA